ACACUAUUUCUCCACAUUGUCCCCACACCGGUUCAGACAUUUGCCCCAUCGCCGCACUAAAUUUGAGUUGCCCCUGUGGUAGAAGUCGUCCGGCUAACUGGAAGCGCUAUCACACUGAU
rnacentral:lncRNA from 1 species